ensembl:lncRNA
CGGAGAGACCCGUUUAUAAGAAUAAGAAAAGGAGGCGGAAUUGAUUGAUUCUAAUGCAGAUCAGCAUCAAUGUCCACGUGAAGAACCUAGUUAUGCUGCCAGUGUCAACCCAACAAAAGGCACUUUCACAAUAUAUAAAAGAAGUGUAUGGAACUGAGGUGCUUCCUCAGGUUGUUGGAGGAUGGAGAAGAGGACGCAGCCGUGACUUGUGAGAUGGCGUCUGAGUCAGCUACUACUCACUAGGAGAUCAGAAACAUGGUGUCCUUGCAAAAGUGGAAAGAGGCCAGGCCUUGUCUUAUAGACAAAAUGUUAUCUACUCUGGAUCCACAGUCACACCGUGUGUGUCAGUGUGGCAAACAAGUAGUUGUGAGGUGUCUGGACUGCCUGCCUCUUCCAUUCCUUUGUGCUGACUGUGAUAUUGCAGUUCACACACGCUAUGUCCUGCACAACCAAGAGGCAGUAACAGGAGGGUUUUUGCAGCCUUCAUCAGAGUUUCACAAGCCAAUAGUUCGGCUGUUGCCUGUGCAAAGGCCAGACCAUGUGUGUGACUGCCCAGCAGGCUGUUAUAACCUUGCACUGCCAGUGGUGAGCUGCACCAGCUGUGACUUAAUGUGGUCCCCUCAGUUAAGGACAUCCUGGGUAGUGGAUAUUGGCCUGGCACCUUAAAUUUCUGCACCCUGUUUUCAAUGGAUGCCUUUCAGUCUUUCUAUGACAUUAAGAAGGCCGCACCAGGGAUGUCAUUUAAGGCAUUUGUCAAAAUGCUGGAUGAAAGAACAGCCCAUUUUUGAAGG